CAGUAGCCACGGGAAUACGUAGGUGGCAAGCGUUGUCCGGAAUUAUUGGGCGUAAAGGGCUCGCAAGCGGUUUCUUAAGUCUGAUGUGAAAGCCCCCGGCUCAACCGGGGAGGGUCAUUGGAAACUGGGAAACUUGAGUGCAGAAGAGGAGAGUGGAAUUCCACGUGUAGCGGUGAAAUGCGUAGAGAUGUGGAGGAACACCAGUGGCGAAGGCGACUCUCUGGUCUGUAACUGACGCUGAGGAGCGAAAGCGUGGGGAGCGAACAGGAUUAGAUACCCCCGUAGUCCCUGUCUCUUAUAC
rnacentral:rRNA from 1 species